rnacentral:sRNA from 1 species
ACACGAGAAGGGAGGUGGUCCAGAGGUGAAUAUUCUUCGGACGCGUGAGGUGGCUACCCGCUAGCCCGUCUGUGGACGGACCCGAGGGUCCUCCCGCCCGGCGGGCGGCGAGAACCAGGUGGUCACCGGAGCCCGCGGGGGCCGUGACUCGUCCAUCACGGCACCCGGCCAGCAGGCCGGGAACCCGCGGGUUCUUCCAU